rnacentral:lncRNA from 1 species
CGAGGAAGUUUUUGCAUGAACAAUGACAGGCACAUUAAGUUAGAGACAAAGGUAAGGUACAACUCUCGCACACCAAGUCAAGAUCCCUACUGUGGGAAGCUCCAUCGCCUGCGGUCUGGAAAUGCAAUGUGGACGAUACAAUUUUUUAUGCAGGUUAUGAGGCAGGAUAGGGAGCAGUCAUCUGAGACUCGGCAGAAAAAGUAUUGAUGGUUUUCUCUGGCAGGUUAUGAGGGUGUCG